rnacentral:rRNA from 1 species
CAUGUAGGCGGUCAGACAAGCUUGGUGUGAAAUCUACGGGCUUAACCCGUAAACUGCAUUGAGAACUAUCAGACUAGAGUCACUGAAGUGCAACCAGAAUUCCAGGUGUAGGGGUGAAAUCUGUAGAUAUCUGGAAGAAUACCAAUGGCGAAGGCAGGUUACAGGCAGAUGACUGACGCUGAGGUGCGAAGGUGCGGGGAGCAAACA